GCCCAACGCACGGCCAAAAUGCGAAGCUUUUUCCAUAAAGGACCAAUUGUGAAACUUUUGAUAAAGUUAAGAGUUAAAAAUAAUAAUACCUGAUAUUUGGAUGUUACGUAGAACAAUAAAUAUGAAAGAACAAAUUAAUGAAAUCAUCCAUAUGGUUUGGUGAAAUUGCAUGUUUCUUUCUAACACACCUACAAAAUGACCAUAAUACCAUUAUUAAUUUCUUUUUUGAUUUACUUAUUGUUCAUUUAAAUAAAGUGGGACCAACCCACCUAUACACACCCGUUUGGUUUCCGAUACGUUCGUAUAUCAUCUUCCCCCCUCUGAAGAACCCUAAAUCCACGGUCGACCACCGGACCAUCACAUCCAUCGACUGCCGGAAAGCAUUGGACUAUCGCCUUUUUCCAUCGUUGCUUGAUUUCUGCCUGAAUGAGGAGGGGAUGGUCGAUUUCAGAUCCUUAGACCAUCACCACCAACCACGACAAUUCGCCUACGGGAACCACUCUCUCUGGUCUCUGAAUUGUGAAGUCAACAUUAAUCAUCUAGAACCUCUUCAUAGAAAUGUUGGCAAUUUCAAGAUGCUUUUGUGUGUAGAACCCUAGCUACUCAAUUGAUUUCGAGAUGCUUUCGAUCCUAGGUUUGAAUUUGAUUUCUGAAAUUCCAAACAAGAACAUAACUGAUUUUGAUUUUCAUUUCUAAAACUAAAUGUUUGGUUUGUUUUUUUAUUUUGGUAUUCGCAAUUGGUUUCCAACGAGACGCGUCGGGAAGAGAGAGUCGAUGAUGGUGGUGUUCUAAUGUUUCCGGUGAUGGUGGCUCCAAUUUUUGUUGGUUCCUGAUGAAACCAAUGGAAGCAAAUUUGAUUCAGAGAGAACAUGAUGCCAGAAUAUGUAGGUGUCGCCGAAAUCUGCAAGUUUGAUGUUGGCGGAAUAUGCAGGUAUCGUCGGUCGACGACAAUGGUGGGGGUGGUGUUGAAUGGUAGUGGUGUUAAUGGAGGUAGAGUUUUUUUUUUUUUUUUUUUUUUUUUUUUUUUUUUUUUUUUUUUCUAAUUAGGAAAUUGUAAAUCUAUCUUAAUAAAUGAAGAUCAUUUUGCCAAAUGUCAUCUUCUCAUUAAAUUUGUCACAUGUAAUUUUGUAAACUUUUUGAUUAAUUUUAUAUCCAUAUGUCAUUUUGUGGUU